AUCAUACCACCCUAAAUACACCUGAUCUCAUCUGACUUCAGAAUCUUUGCAGGAUCAGGCCUGACUUUUAUUUAGAAAGGAGGCCAUCAAGGAAUAUCAAGGAU
rnacentral:rRNA from 1 species